CUCGGCGCACUUAAGGGACUCUUAUCUAAGUAUAAAUAAGACGUCAAUAUGUAGGUGACAAUUUAUUGCUUGACACAGGUUGUCAAUGGUUCACAAUGGUUGUCAAAGGUUCACAGAUGUCAAAAUACUCCAGGUAUAUAAAGCCAGGGAAAAAAAUCUGGACACCGCGGUACAGCUUUACGCGUCUCAAAGUACAGUGACAUCUCUCGGCAAAUAAUACAAACAAGUUUCAUGGAAGGUUUAUACAUAUCGCCCACCAAGGACCUUCCUAGGUCCUUAACAACAGGAAAAUCGAAAUAAA